AUUGAACGCUGGCGGCAGGCCUAACACAUGCAAGUCGAGCGGAUGAAGGAAGCUUGCUCCUGGAUUCAGCGGCGGACGGGUGGGUAAUGCCUAGGAAUCUGCCUGGUAGUGGGGGAUAACGUCCGGAAACGGGCGCUAAUACAGCAUACGUCCAGAGGGAGAAAGUGGGGGAUCUUCGGACCUCACGCUAUCAGAUGAGCCUAGGUCGGAUUAGCUAGUUGGUGGGGUAAAGGGCUACCAAGGCGACGAUCCGUAACUGGUCUGAGAGGGUGAUCAGUCACACUCGGACUGAGACACGGGCCCGACUCCUACAGGAGGGAGCAGUGUGGAAUAUUUGACAAUGGGCGAAAGCCUGAUCCAGACAUGCCGCGCGUGUGAAGAAGGGCUUCUGAUUUUAAAGCACUUUAUGUUUGGAGGAAGGGCAGUAAGUUAAUACCUUGCUGUUUUGACGUUACCAACAGAAUAAGCACCGGCUAACUUCGUG
rnacentral:rRNA from 1 species